CCCCCCGUGGAAGUCAGUCUCGGCAUUCCCGGGCAUCAUAGCAACAUGAGGGCGCCCCAGCCCGGAAGGUAAGCAGGAUCGGACCUUGGUGGUGCUUGGAUGGGGGACCACCUGGGGAGACCAAGGGCUGGAGGCU
ensembl:rRNA 5S_rRNA 5S ribosomal RNA